rnacentral:rRNA from 1 species
UGGGCGAAAGCCUGACCCAGCAACGCCGCGUGAAGGAUGAAAUCCCUCGGGAUGUAAACUUCGCAAGAAUGGGAAGAAUUAGUAGGGGUUAAUACCCUCUAUGAUGACGGUACCAUUUGUAAGCUCCGGCUAACUCCGUGCCAGCAGCCGCGGUAAUACGGGGGGAGCAAGCGUUGUUCGGAUUUACUGGGCGUAAAGGGCGCGUAGGCGGUCAGCACAAGUCAGUUGUGAAAUCUCCGGGCUUAACUCGGAAAGGUCAACUGAUACUGUGCGACUAGAGUGCGGAAGGGGCAACUGGAAUUCUCGGUGUAGCGGUGAAAUGCGUAGAUAUCGAGAGGAACACCUGCGGCGAAGGCGGGUUGCUGGGCCGACACUGACGCUGAUGCGCGAAAGCCAGGGGAGCGAACGGGAUUAGAUACCCCGGUAGUCCUGGCCUUAAACGAUGGAUGCUUGGUGUCUGGAGUUUUAUAGUCUCCGGGUGCCGCAGCUAACGCGUUAAGCAUCCCGCCUGGGGGAGU